CCUGCUCUAACGGGGUGCCGUUCGUCGUUCUCGACGUCCGGCUGAGAGGCUGCCGCCAGCCAACCCGAAGAACCUGAUCCGGUUUGUACCGGCGGAGGGAUUAGACGGCACAAUCAG
rnacentral:ncRNA from 1 species